AACGGACGCUGGCGGCAGGCCUAACACAUGCAAGUCGAACGAAGCCCUCGGGCUUAGUGGCGCACGGGUGAGUAACACGUGGGAACGUGCCCUUAGGUACGGAACAACAGCUGGAAACGGCUGCUAAUACCGUAUGAUGACGAAAGUCCAAAGAUUUAUCGCCUAAAGAUCGGCCCGCGUUAGAUUAGGUAGUUGGUGGGGUAAGAGCCUACCAAGCCUACGAUCUAUAGCUGGUCUCAGAGGAUGAUCAGCCACACUGGAACUGAGACACGGUCCAGACUCCUACGGGAGGCAGCAGUGAGGAAUAUUGGACAAUGGGCGAAAGCCUGAUCCAGCCAUGCCGCGUGAAUGAUGAAGGCCUUAGGGUUGUAAAGUUCUUUUAGUAGUGAAGAUGAUGACGGUAACUACAGAAAAAGCCCCGGCUAACUCCGUGCCAGCCGCCGCGGUAAGAC
rnacentral:rRNA from 1 species